GACGAACGCUGGCGGCGUGCCUAAUACAUGCAAGUCGAGCGAAGUUUUUCUGGUGCUUGCACUAGAAAAACUUAGCGGCGAACGGGUGAGUAACACGUAAAGAACCUGCCACAUAGACUGGGACAACUAUUGGAAACGAUAGCUAAUACCGGAUAACAGCAUUAACUGCAUGGUUGAUGUUUAAAAGUUGGUUUUGCUAACACUAUGAGAUGGCUUUGCGGUGCAUUAGCUAGUUGGUGGGGUAAAGGCCUACCAAGGCGACGAUGCAUAGCCGACCUGAGAGGGUGAUCGGCCACACUGGGACUGAGACACGGCCCAGACUCCUACGGGAGGCAGCAGUAGGGAAUCUUCCGCAAUGGGCGAAAGCCUGACGGAGCAACGCCGCGUGAGUGAAGAAGGAUUGCGGUUCGUAAAGCUCUGUUGUUAGGAAGAAUGAUUGUGUAGUAACUAUACACAGUAGAGACGGUACCUAACCAGAAAGCCACGGCUAACUACGUG
rnacentral:rRNA from 1 species